GGAGGCUGGAAAGUCCAAGAUCAGGGUCAGUUCGGUUCCUGAUGAGAACUCUCUUCCUGGUUUAUGCAAGGUCACAUUUUCCCUGUGUCCUCACAUGAAGCACAAGGCUAUGACAGUUUCUUGUAACAAAACCAACACUGCUUACUGGGAAGAAAAUCGCCCUGGCUUGAGACUGUAUGAGUGACAAAAGCUUGUCUUCCUCAGCAUGACAGUUAAUCCUGAAACAACCAGCCGCAGACAACCUAGAGAACAUGUUACCUAUACGUUAUUAGCUCCUGUGGCACUGGACUGAGUCAUAUUCAUCUCUCCAACCUCAUGAGCCUAGCAAAGUUCUUGGCACAGAAGACGUCUCCAUGGCCAAUUGAAUGGUCUUCAUUAUUUGGAAGCUAACACAGUUUUAUAAAAAAACAUUUUUAUACAAUUUCGAAGAACUCAUCUUUCAACUCCAGG